GGAUGUGAGGGCAGUCUGGCUGACAGCAUGGCACCCCAUUGAUCACCAGGGUGUAUUCCACUGAUCUGGCUCACUGGGCAGUGUCCCCUUCCUCUCUCACCGUUCCAUGUGUGUCCCUCCCAAUGCUGCAUGUUUUGUCAAAGAGGAAGAGCUUCCUUGAGCACAGGAGGACUGGCAUUUGGUCAAGGGUGUACAAGCUGUCGUGCCUCCCUGCAAACAAGCUCUCAAACUACAUUCAGUUCGACUUCUUUUGUUGUUGUUGUUUUGAGGCAGGGUCUCACUGUAGCACAGGCUGACCUGGAACUCAUUCUGCAGUCCCAAGCU
rnacentral:snRNA from 1 species